UACGUAGGGGGCAAGCGUUGUCCGGAAUUAUUGGGCGUAAAGAGCGUGUAGGCGGUCCGGUAAGUCAGCUGUGAAAGUCAAGGGCUCAACCCUUGAAAGCCGGUUGAUACUGUCGGGCUAGAGUCCGGAAGAGGCAAGUGGAAUUCCUGGUGUAGCGGUGAAAUGCGCAGAUAUCAGGAGGAACACCGAUGGCGAAGGCAGCUUGCUGGGACGGUACUGACGCUGAGACGCGAAAGCGUGGGGAGCAAACAGG
rnacentral:rRNA from 1 species